UACGUCCACACCUUUUAGGUGUGGGCCAGUUGGCUGUCAUACUUCCAAGAAAAGCUCGAACUACUGUAAAGCAUCAAAUACCUGUACCGUAAACCGACACAGGUGGGUUGGUAGAGUAUACCAAGGGGCGCGAGAUAACUCUCUCUAAGGAAUUCGGCAAAAUGACCCCGUAACUUCGGGAGAAGGGGUGCCAAGUAACUAAAAUUGCUUGGUCGCAGUGACCAGGCCCUGGCGACUGUUUAUCAAAAACACAGGUCUCCGCAAAGUCGUAAGACAACAUAUGGGGGCUGACGCCUGCCCAGUGCCGGAAGGUUAAAGAAGUUGGUUAUUCAUUCGUGGAGAAGCUGACGACUGAAGCCCCGGUGAACGGCGGCCGUAACUAUAACGGUCCUAAGGUAGCGAAAUUCCUUGUCGGGUAAGUUCCGACCCGCACGAAAGGCGUAACGAUCAGGGCACUGUCUCGGAGAGAGACUCGGUGAAAUAGACAUGUCUGUGAAGAUGCGGACUACCUGCACCUGGACAGAAAGACCCUAUGAAGCUUGACUGUAGCCUGGAAUUGGGUUCGGGCUCUUCUUGCGCAGCCUAGGUGGGAGGCGUUGAAAGCUUUCUUUUGGGAAAGCUGGAGCCAUCAGUGAGAGACCACUCUGGAGGAGCUAGAAUUCUAAUGGCGUUCCUUGAAGCAGGACGCUUGACAGUUUCAGGUGGGCAGUUUGACUGGGGCGGUCACCUCCUAAAAGGUAACGGAGGUGUGCAAAGGUUCCCUCAGGCUGGACGGAAAUCAGCCGUAGAGUGUAAAGGCAGAAGGGAGCUUGACUGCAAGACCUACGAGUCGAGCAGGGGCGAAAGCCGGCCUUAGUGAUCCGACGGUUCCAUGUGGAAGGGCCGUCGCUCAACGGAUAAAAGUUACUCUAAGGAUAACAGGCUGAUCUUCCCCAAGAGUUCACAUCGACGGGAAGGUUUGGCACCUCGAUGUCGGCUCAUCGCAACCUGGGGCGGUAGUACGUCCCAAGGGUUGGGCUGUUCGCCCAUGAAAGCGGUACGUGAGCUGGGUUCAGAACGUCGUGAGACAGUUCGGUCCAUAUCCGGUGUAGGCGUUAGAGCAUUGAGAGGAGCCUUCCAUAGUACGAGAGGACCUGGAAGGACGCACCUCUGGUAUACCAGUUAUCACGCCAAUGGUACACGCUGGGUAGCCAUGUGCGGAGUGGAUAACCGCUGAAAGCAUCUAAGUGGGAAGCCCACCUCAAGAUGAGUGCUCUCCAUCAGGUCACAGGAAGACAACCUGUUUGAUAGGCAGAAGGUGUAAGGCUAGUAAUAGUUUCAGCUGAUCUGUACUAAUAGACC
rnacentral:rRNA from 1 species